rnacentral:rRNA from 1 species
AUUGUAGGCUGAAACUCGCCUACAUGAAGCUGGAGUUACUAGUAAUCGCAGAUCAGAAUGCUGCGGUGAAUGCGUUCCCGGGUCUUGUACACACCGCCCGUCACACCACGGAAGUUGGGGCGCCCGAAGCCACUUAGCUAACCCAUUUGGGAAGCGAGUGUCGAAGGUGAAAUCAAUAACUGGGGUGAAGUCGUAACAAGGUAUC